CCCUUAGAUGUUCUGGGCCGCACGCGCGCUACACUGAAGCAUUCAACGAGUCUAAAACCUGCUCUGAUAGGGGUGGGUAAUCUUUUGAAUGUGCAUCGUGAUUGGGAUAGAUGAUUGCAAUUUUUCAUCUUCAACGAGGAAUGCCUAGUAAACGCAAGUCAUCAGCUUGCAUUGAUUACGUCCCUGCCCUUUGUACACACCGCCCGUCGCUCCUACCGAUUGAAUGAUCCGAUGAAUAUCAUGGAUUGAGGAUGCAAGCAGGUUCGCCUGUCUUCAUCUUCGAGAAGUGAAGUAAAUCUUAUCAUUUAGAGGAAGGAGAAGUCGUAACA
rnacentral:rRNA from 1 species